rnacentral:rRNA from 1 species
UACGUAGGGUGCAAGCGUUGUCCGGAAUUACUGGGCGUAAAGCGUGCGUAGGUGGUUUGUUAAGUCUGAUGUGAAAUCCCCGGGCUCAACCUGGGAAUGGCCGUUGAAACUGGCGAACUGGAGUGUGGCAGAGGGGGGUGGAAUUCCGCGUGUAGCAGUGAAAUGCGUAGAGAUCGGGAGGAACACCAGUGGCGAAGGCGACUACCUGGACCAGCACUGACACUGAGGCACGAAAGCGUGGGGAGCAAACAGG